UGGUGUGUCGUCACAUCCGGCGUGACGCUGGAGCGCUUACAUCUGAUCCGACUGGAAGUGCGCUUUCCCGUGUGCGGCUUUUCUCCGGGCGCCCCGUUUUCAUCCCGCAUUCCAAAAACACGCAUGGCGGGCGGCUAAACGGAACACUCCAAAUUGUCCGGAAGUGUGAGCGCGUUCUGUUGGUUCGUUUCCCCUCACACGCCCGCUGCCCUCCGCAGGAGCAGGCGGUUCACAUGAUGAGCGGAUGAAUUGAGCAAACGAGGCCAUCUUCUGCUGUUCGUCGUAACUGCACGUACGACGCUCGCAAAGGAUUGUGGGAAUGAAUGCCCAUCGCCGUGGCGGAUUCGUCGAUUCAAGUGGAGCCAGCCUCGCUGAGUCGUCUUGUGAGUGUUGUCGAGUAAAGUCGCUGCCUUUUUAAUAAGUCCAAUGAAUGUUUUAUGCCUCCCGUUUCCGCGUUGCCGUCUUUUUCCAGAGAAAGAACGCCAUUUGCUCACGUAGAUGAAGCAACUGCUGUCACUAUCGCCUUGGGCAGCUCCUGCGAUUUGAUUUCUUUGAAGACAUCGCCGAGGUCACGCGCGGCAGGUUCAUGGACCACUCCCAAGCGUCCCUCAGUCCGAGGGCCAGUGUUUGUCUGUGCCCUGGGGAUUGGAGGGCAACCAGUUCGGGGUGGCAAGAUGGCUGGGAUGGGCCCCCGCGCCCCCCAUGAGGAGAAAGCGCUUUGGAUAAUGGAUGGUAGAAUACGCUCUUCUUGUUAGGCACAAGUCUGUUUAUGUGUGCCGUUUGAUUUUAUUUUUUGAAUGAAUAAGUGCUUUUUGUAUUACUAUUAGAAGGUGUAUGGGGGGGGGGGCAGUAAUUGGGUUGCUAUUAUCUCAAAUGCAUUUGGCACACUGAAACAGUUUUUGCUAUUUUAUAUUGCAAAGUACCGACUUUUCCGUUUUCAGUUUUGCUGUACUGUCCCACAGAUAAUGUGCUUCAAAUCCAGUGUGGGUGAAUCAUGGUCAUCAUUUUGCGGUGUUGGGAGCAGUCACAAGACCCCCCCCCCCUUACCCUAACACACGCGCACACAAGUGUCGGGGGGCAAAAUGAUAUAUUUUGGUCCCAAGGAGAGCACCAACUAGCCUAUUUCCAACGCACAAAGACAAGCGUAACCACAAAGAAAAGAGGAGCCGACGGGUGGGUGACGUGCGCGGGUCACAGGGCGAGGGCAGCGGUGGCGUUGAUGCUCACUCGCUCCACGUCUCUGGCCACCCGCGGCAUGGCGGCGAGCUCGGAUCCUUCCAGGGAGUCCAGAAGGCCUGAACGUGGACACAUGGGACGGCGUUACGGUGGGUGAGAGAUUUGGCGUUUGCAUCAGAAGAUCUACAAGUAUCCCAAUCUGUGAAUUUUGGUCCUCCCCCCCGUCUGACACCAUGUUGACCUUCCCCGCGUGAGCGAGCGCCUUCACUUUGGUCAAUUUUUGCCUCGAAGGUUUGACGCGCGAAAGCCUACCUUCCACCAUCUUGUGGUAAGCAAAGUGAAGGUAGAGCAGGAAGAGCAUGUGCAGCGCCGACACGGUCGUGCACAGCAGCAGGCGAGGAGUCGCGCCCACCGUGCGAGACAGCAGAGCCGACACCUGAAAGACAAAAAGGCGCUCAGGCCGCGGCGGCCGAUGGAGACGCGGAAGCCGGCUCACCAUGCGCAGGGUGGACAGUCCUCCCAGCGCCAGCCACAGGGUGUAGAAGAGCAGGUGGACGUGCACGUUGUAGCUCACCAGGAGAACCGCGCAGUGGCCGAACAAGCCGUAGCCCUGAGGGGACCGAAGCGGGCAAAGGCUCGACGGGGUAUCGCCAGCGCGCGUGAAGAGGACGAGGCAAAAGUCGACGUACCAGCAGGGAGAGGCUUUGCAACAAGGUGAUCUGAGCAUUGAGCAGAUACGCCAGGAAGUAGAUCAAAGACGACACUCCCAGCCAGUAGCCGAAACACGUUCCGAUAGCCGUUCCCAUCAGAGUGCCCUCCCUCUGGAACGGGCAGGUGCGCGCGCACCCAUCGUCAUUAUGCUGUCAUUACUUUGUGUGUGUGUGCGUGUGCGUGUGCGUGUCCUCUCACGAUGACGGUCCCCGAUGUCUUCAUGCCGUGCAACAAGAUGGCAACCAGUGUGAACACCAGCAUGAGCGGCCCAUACAGCUCACCUGCAAUCUUCUACACACGACGCGCGAGACGUGUGAGGGCCCCGAGUGCUGAAAGCCAGACGCGAAACGGGCGUACCUGAGGGAAGUUGAUCACGCGGCCGGGAAUCAUGGACUCCAUCAACCUGAAGGCACGCCACAAUGGACUUGGAUCGAACGGGAAGCGGCGUCGGCAGACGGGAAGCGGCGGCGGCGGCGCUUACCUGGCGCGCACCUGCGCGGGCUCCACGUCGAAGUAGGGCCUGAGGAUGUCGAUGUUGGCGUACAGGUUGAAGGCUCGAGACGCCUGGCGCUUUCCCACCUGCCACACCUGAUGAGCACACAAGCGACGCUGCCACUCGGAUCCGCUCGCGGGAGUCCCAGAAGGCGCAAAGAAGAAAAGGGCGACGUCGACUCACUUCGUCCGCCACCUGCCUGCCCAGCUGGCCCUUGAAGCCCUUCAUGCCCAAAAAGUCUCCGUCUUGGUCAUCGGCGUCCGCCGCCUCCGCCGCCACUUCCUCCUCUUCUUUCAUCCGCUGAUGCAUCUCUCCCAUGUCCUCGAAACUGGAGCCUGACGUGUCGUCCAUGUUUUCCAUGUCGAUGACCGCCGAACCUCCGCCGCCGCCCUGCGUUCAAUGCCGCGUACGUGUCACUCCGCGCGCGCGACGACGGAGAGAGCGAAGGCGACCUUUCCGUCCGGCGGCUAACGACGCUGGCCCCGAAGCUUACCUGGACGACGGGCUCGUCGAAGCUCCCCCACGGUUCGGCGCUGGCGCGCCGGGGGCCCGCAGACAUGUUGUGCCGAGGCCGUCUCGGACUUCUCGAGCGACUCGUGUCCGAGUGGCCGCCGGCGCCGUCUCGAGGGCUCCUCGGCGCUCGGGAUCUAACGGAAAGCCCUCAAACGUUCCCCGAUCGGGCUCUGAUUAUUGGCC